GACAGAGGGUGCAAACGUUGUUCGGAUUUACUGGGCGUAAAGCGUGUGUAGGCGGCUUCGCAAGUUGGAUGUGAAAUCCCACGGCUCAACCGUGGACGUGCAUCCAAAACUGCGUCGCUAGAGUCUCGGAGAGGAAGGUGGAAUGCUUGGUGUAGAGGUGAAAUUCGUAGAUAUCAAGCAGAACACCUGCGGCGAAGGCGGCCUUCUGGACGAUGACUGACGCUGAGACACGAAAGCUAGGGGAGCAAACGGG
rnacentral:rRNA from 1 species